CUCAACUCUCCCUUUUGUUUCCCUUCUCUUUUUCAAAGCUCAAAAAUCUCCACUCCCGCGUAGAACCCCAUAAGCUUCAGAAUGGAGGACUCCAUAGCUAAAUUCUGCAAAAGCAUGGCCAUUUUCUGUAACAAUCUCCAAAACAGCUGCCACGCCCUCAAAGAGUCCGUCGAUCGUCGCCCCAUACCUCUUGAUUCAGCAUCGACGACCUUUGUGCAAAGCCUGAAUCAAAGAGUAUCUUCACUGAGCAGUGACCUCAAUGUGCUGGACUCCAUGUCUUCCGGACCUGUGUCGUUUGAGGAGUUGUCGGGACAUUGCAAUGAAGUGUUUAAGAAGAACCAAACUGAUCUUCUGUCCCUCCAGGACCGUCUCCAUAGUCUUGGCUACAUUUCUUCUGUCGAUCUUAUUGAUGAAGACAGUGGAGGAGAAGAAGAAGACGCGAAAGUUCGGGAAGAUUUAUCUGCUGACUGCAGCUUAGACUUCAAGAAAAUUGAAGAUGAUCCUUUGCUGGAUGAUUCUCUGAAUUUGCAGAACCUUGGUCUCUCUGAUGUUUGCCUAGCUACCAUAGCAUCUGAAGCUAAUACGAUAUAUGAGAAAGAGGGAUUCUAUCUAUCCACCGAGAAGAAACAGGAUGAUAGUGAUGGGAAAAUGAACGAUGAAUUAAACUCAUCUGAAGAUACUCAGUCAUUGAUAACGGUGUCAGAAGAUGAAUAUGAAAACCUCCCCAAACAUAUGAAGAUUUUAGCUUCAUGGCAGGAAUUAGUUGUUGCUGUUGAGAAGAUGAACUCAUUCCUCCACACGAAAAAUACUAGGCCAUACUCCUUCCAGCAAGCUGAAAUUGCGGAAAUAGGGUUAGGAGCAACUAAAAUAUGACGGGUUUGAAGACUGAAAACUACGGAAGCUUUGUGCCUUUUGUUCCCUAAAAUAUGUAGAAUUCUGUCAAAAUUAUGGAGUGUAGUUGAACAGCUUUGCUAGUUCAAUCCCUGGGCAUAAAGCUAGAUCUUAUCUGCUGCUGCUGAUCAGAAUGAGUCGAGUAAUAGUAGAGACAAGUGGUGGUUUGAUUUGUUAUAGUAUACAAUGAGUGCAGAGAUGAAACCCAUUGACAUUAACAUGUUAGCAAUAUUUAGCUGAAGUGUGUUUUUAAUGUUUUGGUCUUCUUGAGCACAAAAAUGUGAGGGCCUAACAAAAUUUGAUGCUGCAUUUAGUAUUGUAUUAUAAACUCAUUCAUUCGCAUUUUGAAAUGCUAGUGAAUGUUGGUAUUA